CCUACGGGCGGCAGCAGUGGGGGAUAUUGGUCAAUGGGGGAAACCCUGAACCAGCGACGCCGCGUGAGGGAAGACGGUUUUCGGAUUGUAAACCUCUAUCCUCUGUGAAGAUGGUUACGGUGGCAGCGGAGUAAGCUCCGGCUAACUACGUGCCAGCCGCCGCGGUAGUACGUAGGGAGCGGGCGUUGUCCGGAUUUACUGGGUGUAAAGGGUGCGUAGGCGGCGUGGCAAGUCAGUAGUGAAAUCCAUGGGCUCAACCCAGGAACUGCUAUUGAAACUGUCGAGCUGGAGUGAAGUAGAGGUAGGCGGAAUUCCCGGUGUAGCGGUGAAAUGCGUAGAGAUCGGGAGGAACACCAGUGGCGAAGGCGGCCUACUGGGCUGUAACUGACGCUGAGGCACGAAAGCGUGGGUAGCAAACAGGAUUAGAUACCCUAGUAGUC
rnacentral:rRNA from 1 species